CAAGCAUAUAUUAUUUGUGCAUUAUUUUGACCUUGUGGCUAACGAAUGUCCCCAGUUCUUCUAUAUGAGCUUCUGUUAAGCCAGAUUUGUGCUACUGUGUCUGACAUUGAUAUAUGCCAUUGAAAAGGAUAAAGACUUUCUGCAACUUAUACAGAUUUUCUUCCACAUUGACUUGAAGUCAUUAAUCAACACUCUUUAGGAAUUUUUUUUUAUUUUCAACCAGCGAUUAAUCCAUUUCAUUCCUAGUCAUUUCUUCGUCUUCUUUAAAAGGGUAUCUUGAAACAGUAAAAUCUUUUGCUGAGCUUGCUGUUUUACGUCCAUGGUACUUCCCCGAAUCAACCAGGGUUGGCACUCCUAUCUAGGUAAACAAAUAUUAAUUCUUGGUAAUCACUUCUUUUGAAGCAGCCACAAUUUGUUUAAUGCACAUAUUAGAAUUUAAGUAAGGCCUGACGUCAAGCUCACCAGUUUCUGGAGUUUUUGUGUCUUCGUUGCACAUGCUCAUUGCUUUAAAAAAUCAGAACAUCCGUUUCUCUUAGGAAAUGUGGCAUCUCUCCUGUUCUUCUUAAAUCUGCAGGCGGGGGAUCUGUGAAGAUGGCUGCCUUUCACUUAUUUUGUCUCCCUACCCCUCUUAAUGAUUUUCUGGAGCCUCACAGCAACCAAAGGAAGAAGUAUUUCAGUGACAGGAUCCACUCAGGAGAGUCGGGGCAAGGCUGGCUGAGGUUCUCAAGGAGCUGA
rnacentral:lncRNA from 1 species